AUGCUUCAAGCAACCAUGACUUUGAUCAGCGUCUUCAUCUGCACACUGGCCCUCUGGACUCAAGGAUCCAGAGGUCAGGUGACUGUGACUCAGACUCCUUCAGUGCAAACUGUUGCUGCAGGAAACACAGUCACCAUCAACUGUAAAACCAGUAGCAGUGUGCAUGGUGGUAGCUAUCUACACUGGUACCUGCAGAAACCUGGAGAAGCUCCUAAACUCCUGAUCUACUUGGCUACUAGCAGACAGUCAGGGAUUCCAGAUCGUUUCAGUGGCAGUGGAUCUAAUACUGACUUCACUCUGACCAUCAGAGGAGUCCAGACUGAAGAUACAGGAGAUUACUACUGUCAGAGUGCACAUAGUGGCCCGGUGUUAACACCGUGUUAGAGCGUCGUACAAAAACCUCGGUCAGUGAGACUGCACAGAGAAACACUGCUGCAGCUGGGAGUGACUGCAGGUGCUGAGGGGGAGGAUGUGAUACAGCACAAUGACACACACUGUGGACCA